GAUGAACGCUAGCUGCAGGCUUAACACAUGCAAGUCGAGGGGUAACGAGAGGAAAGCUUGCUUUCCUUGUCGACGACCGGCGCACGGGUGAGUAACGCGUAUCCAACCUGCCCCCAACUAGGGAAUAACCUUGCGAAAGUAAGACUAAUACCCUAUAAUUUCCUCAGAUGUCAUCUGACGAGGAAUAAAGAUUUAUCGGUUGUGGAUGGGGAUGCGUCUGAUUAGCUUGUUGGCGGGGUAACGGCCCACCAAGGCAACGAUCAGUAGGGGUUCUGAGAGGAAGGGACCCCACAUUGGAACUGAGACACGGUCCAAACUCCUACGGGAGGCAGCAGUGAGGAAUAUUGGUCAAUGGACGGAAGCCUGAACCAGCCAAGUAGCGUGCAGGAUGACGGCCCUAUGGGUUGUAAACUGCUUUUAUACAGGAAUAAAGUUAGCCACGUGUGGUUAUUUGUAGGUACUGUAUGAAUAAGGACCGGCUAAUUCCGUGCCAGCCGCCGCAGUAA
rnacentral:rRNA from 1 species